rnacentral:lncRNA from 1 species
CCUGCGCGCCGAACGGACCAACGGCUGGCGUUAGCGGCGCGGGGCGGGGCGUUAGCGGCUCCCUCGCGAGCUCCGCGCGCCCCACCCGCCGUUGGCCGCUGGGAGGUCGCGCGCUCGGGGCCGGAAGGGGGCGGGGCUCGCGCGUGCGCUGUGGCGGGUGGGGCGGCGGCGGAGGAAAGUUUGGAGGUGCGGAUCCCGGAGGAAUAUUGUCAUUAGGCCGGGAAUAAAGCGGGGUGACCAAACCCACGGCAGAGCUGGCAUCUCCCCAUGGCAAAAUGUGACGUCUUUGUUCAGCCUCCACCCUGCCCUGGCUUUAAACUGAGGUAAUGACUGGAAUCUGAAGCAGCUGACAAAUGAACACAUCCUGAGAUGGCAGUGGUGGCUUCUGUCAGCUGAGUACAGCAGAUGGCCAGCAUCAGCAGUGUCUUACAGUGAGGUGUGAUGUGUUGUUAAAAUUUAGAUGGUGAUUUUUAGAGAAAAAUAAAAUUUCUCUCAUUUAAAUAAUGGUUUAUAAU